rnacentral:rRNA from 1 species
GACGAACGCUGGCGGCGUGCUUAACACAUGCAAGUCGAACGGAAAGGCCCUGCUUUUGUGGGGUGCUCGAGUGGCGAACGGGUGAGUAACACGUGAGUAACCUGCCCUUGACUUUGGGAUAACUUCAGGAAACUGGGGCUAAUACCGGAUAGGAGCUCCUGCUGCAUGGUGGGGGUUGGAAAGUUUCGGCGGUUGGGGAUGGACUCGCGGCUUAUCAGCUUGUUGGUGGGGUAGUGGCUUACCAAGGCUUUGACGGGUAGCCGGCCUGGGAGGGUGACCGGCCACAUUGGGACUGAGGUACGGCCCAGAGUCCUACGGGAGGCAGCAGUGGGGAAUAUGGCACAAUGGGCGGAAGCCUGAUGCAGAGACGCCGCGUGCGGGAUGACGGCCUUCGGGUUGUAAACCGCUUUCGCCUGUGACGAAGCGUGAGUGACGGUAAUGGGUAAAGAAGCACCGGCUAACUACGUG